rnacentral:rRNA from 1 species
AUUGAACGCUGGCGGCAUGCCUUACACAUGCAAGUCGAACGGCAGCACGGGUGCUUGCACCUGGUGGAGAGUGGCGAACGGGUGAGUAAUUAAUCGGAACAUGUCCUGUAGUGGGGGAUAGCCCGGCGAAAGCCGGAUUAAUACCGCAUACGAUCUACGGAUGAAAGCGGGGGACGUUCGGGCCUCGCGCUACAGGGUUGGCGGAUAGAUGAUUAGCUAGUUGGUGGGGUACAGGCCUACCAAGGCGACGAUCAGUAGCUGGUCUGAGAGGACGACCAGCCACACUGGGACUGAGACACGGCCCAGACUCCUACGGGAGGAAGCAGUGGGGAAUUUUGGACAAUGGGCGAAGGCCUGAUCCAGCAAUGCCGCGGGUGGGAAGAAGGCCUUCGGGUUGUAAAGCACUUUUGUCCGGAAAGAAAUCCUUGGCUCUAAUACAGUCGGGGGAUGACGGUACCGGAAGAAUAAGCACCGGCUAACUACGUG